rnacentral:rRNA from 1 species
GUUUAAUUUGAUCAUGGCUCAGAUUGACNACGCUGGGUUNGCAGGCCUAACACAUGCAAGUCGAGCGGAUGACGGGAGCUUGCUCCUUGAUUCAGCGGCGGACGGGUGAGUAAUGCCUAGGAAUCUGCCUGGUAGUGGGGGACAACGUUUCGAAAGGAACGCUAAUACCGCAUACGUCCUACGGGAGAAAGCAGGGGACCUUCGGGCCUUGCGCUAUCAGAUGAGCCUAGGUCGGAUUAGCUAGUUGGUGGGGUAAUGGCUCACCAAGGCGACGAUCCGUAACUGGUCUGAGAGGAUGAUCAGUCACACUGGAACUGAGACACGGUCCAGACUCCUACGGGAGGCAGCAGUGGGGAAUAUUGGACAAUGGGCGAAAGCCUGAUCCAGCCAUGCCGCGUGUGUGAAGAAGGUCUUCGGAUUGUAAAGCACUUUAAGUUGGGAGGAAGGGCAGUAAGUUAAUACCUUGCUGUUUUGACGUUACCGACAGAAUAAGCACCGGCUAACUCUGUGCCAGCAGCCGCGGUAAUACAGAGGGUGCAAGCGUUUAAUCGGAAUUUNCUGGGGCGUNAAAGCG